CAGGAUGUAGCUCAGGGGUAGAGUGCUUGGUCGGGAACCAAGAGGCCGCGGGUUCAAUCCCCGCCAUCCUGA
rnacentral:tRNA from 1 species